CUGGACGCGCGGGAAGCGUGUCAGGCGGCUACUACCUGGCGCGAGCCUAACAUUCUAGGGGCGGGAAAGGGUGGGCAUCAAAAUGCCGAGAGCCGGAAUCGGUGGGAGGUGCGCCAGUCUGGCGUGUGUUCGGAUUGUCCAGGCCCCCGAAGGAGAAUCAAGUGUUCCAUCUCCCCACCUUUGUUUCACUUGUUUCUUCGGUCUGGAAUUCUUUCUCCCAGUCUUACCCCAACUCGCGUCAAAUCCUGUUACCCUUUCCUGUUCUGUCUCAAAAUCUUUUUUGUAGAACUAUAAAUAAUUGCAAAAAGAUAAAUAAACUAAAACUGCCGUGUAAUGGAUGUGUGUACGGAGGGGGGCGGACACUCGGGACGAGAGCCCCAGUUUCGGCGAUUUCUUCCGCAAACUGGAGCCCCCGGGCCGCAUGGCGCAGACAUGCGCACACAGCGUUUAUGCAUCGGGUUCUGUAUCAACGAGAGGUUUCGGGUUUCCGAACCGUGGACUUCAGGCAGCAAUCGAGGAUCAACUAGAAGCCAAAAGAAACAUCUGAGGGAAGGUUAACUUCGAGUUCUUCCAAUUGGCUAACAGAGUUGGCCCUCCUCGCAAUAUAAGAAACUGCCCAACAGGAUCCAUUUGUUCACAUGUGCUUGGCGGGCUCAAACGUUUUCUUUGGCACAGGAAUGAGGCUGGAGAAGUCGACUCUAGAAGACAAAGAGCCCCGGAGGAAACAAGAGGGCAACGGCUCCCUGGAUGACUGCAAACCCCAAAACUGCAGCUCCUCCUUCGAGCCGGAAUCGAACCAGCGACCUAAGGAUGACUAUACGGGAAGCGCACUACAGUCCUCCGCUCUACCAGCUGAGCUAUCGAAGGGGGCACGGAAAGCACCUCUCUAGAGUCACCCAUUCAGGACAUCUACAAAUAGAGGCGUGUGAGAAACGAUCUUCUGCCGGCGGGUGGACAUCGCAGAGUCACAAAGCCAGCUUGUGAGAAAGUCCCGCCCGCAGUUCUGGGGACAACCCUUCCAGAGCUGGAUUCCCCUACUCCACCGAGGGGUGGGGGGCCAAUCCGUGGGCUCCUCACAGGCACCCCGAGACCCCGUGCAUCACGAGGCCGCCCGGGGCGAGGGCACUGCUCGUCCGGGGGGCCGUUGGCUUCGGGAGCGCGCGGCCCGGGCGGGACCUCCCAACGUGAUACGUGUGGAGUGGGAGCCGCCACCCCGGCCUCGAAGAGCCAGGGAGUGCGGCGGUGGGACACACGGUUCCGCUCGCGCAGCCCCGCGCCAGGCAGAGAGGGCGGGCCUCCCGGCUCUGGCUCGCGCCUCUUCGCGUUUCCUCACUUCCUGUGCUCGCCUGGGAAUUCAGGCUCGUUCGCACAGGCAAACCGCAACUCUUCCGUUUGUACGUCCACAGACUCGGGGAGGGAGAGGAUGUGGAAUAUAGCACACAUGGGUAACCCCAAUGUUUCUGCGAGAAAGGACUUCUGGAGAAAAUAUCUUAAGGUUUUUCAAAGGGGAAGCCGCAAUUCUUCUGAGUCAAUAACAAACUUAGUGACCCAAGUCUCGACUUUCGUCUUCCCGCUGGGAUGAUAGUGAAGUGUUCGAAAACCGGCUGAAACAGGAAACCUUGCGGGACAGCCUACUCUCUCCCGAGGGCCUCCUCCCCUUUGGGGAGUGGAGCUUGUUCUGGGCUCCAAGCCUGUGCGGAGCGAGGCACUGGGCUCGACUCCAUGGUCUUCCCCCACCGCCCUCGGCCCGGCUCGGGCUCCGGCGGCCCUGGGGAAGGGCUCUCGCGGCGGGUCGGCACAACCCGGGCGUCCGCGGAGGCAGGCGGCGUUUCCCGCAGUUUGUAAUGGACUCCGCCACAAUCCAGGCAGCAGAGCCGCACUUGCGCAGUAGCGCGUGAGAGGAAGCGGAUCCGCUCAGCGUGGUUUACUCGGGUAGUCGGGACUGCGGCGAGACGAUACGUGAACCGAAUUUCCGCGGGGGUUAAGGUUACUGGAAGGGGGGUUGUCCAGUAAGGAUUUAAAACGAUAAGAAAUAGGUGGAAGGCCCCAGCGAGAUUUGAACUCGCGACCCCUGGUUUACAAGACCAGUGCUCUAACCCCUGAGCUAUAGGGCCUCGCGGACGAGCGUCUUGCUUCUUUCUUUGAAAAGGAAAGUUUUUAUGAUGGGUCUUUGUUAGAGGAAUUAAGUGUAAGCAGCAGACAAAAUGCGAACUUCUUUUCAAUCUAUUUACUGUUGGAAUUUGGUCUGCAGGCUCUUGCUAGGGACAACGCAAUAUGAGGGCCAGUGAUAACAGCCACCACUAUUUUAAGAUUGCAGGACUCUGCCUAACCCAACACAUUAUAACACAGAGUCCACCUCACCCCUCCCUCCGCCCCCGGCCGCAGUCUAAAAAUGAAGAGGAGAGACGCGGCGUAGAGGAAGUUGACUACCACGGGUCUCUCCGCUGAAACUGAGCCUUUCCACUGAUUUUCUCCUUGACUCAGGAUAGCCACCGACUUCCAACUUCCUUCAAGUUCCUUAUGUGUAGGGACCUUUCUUACAGCUCGAGUCUCUGCGCCAGAGCAAGCAUUUGUUAAUUCGUUAUUUAAUUCAUUCCUUCAUGCAGCAAACACUGAACUCCCAAUUCUGUGCUGGGCUGUGCACUAGGAACAAGGCAUCGGAUACGGUCUUUAACUUGAAGUCCCUGUCAUAGUCUUGUGGACUAAGAGAACUUUAGUUUUUAUGAAAGAGAACAGUGAAAAGUAGCUGUGCCUGCUGUGAGCGGCUGGUGGACAGUGCCAAGCUUCGCAGAUUUGCGGUGUGAGCCUUCACAGAGGCGGUCCUUCAGGUGGGGGUGGGGUUUGAGCUGCACUUGAGAGGUUAAGACACAAGUUUGGGGGCCGAGUGAUCUCUGGUAGAAGAAAAUGUAUGAGCAGAGUCUGAAAGAAAAACCGAGGCUUAAGGAGCGGAGGCAGAACACCGGCUGGGGCAGAUAUCUGCCCUCCUGGAAAUAAGGGAAGGCAUCUAGAGCACUAUCAACCCAAAAGGAUCCUUAAAAAAGUUAUUGGCCGGACAUUUCUGAGCCUUCAAGAUGACAUUAAACCCAAACUGCAAAUCAGGGAGAAUGGAGACCUGUGGUCACAGCUUCUCAGGAAAAGUUGAAAGCUCAUUCUUUCCAGUUUUCCUUGCUAAGCUCAGCUGAUUUCUGCUGAGCUCCAAAACAGUUAUUGGAAGUGGGAAGAUAGAGGUGCUGGAUCUUGACAUCUGUUCCUCUUGUUUCUCCCAUCCAAAGAGUCCGCCAAAACUAUAGCCCAAUUUUGCAGUAAUUAGCAAAUGUCUUCAGAGCUACAAAGGAUGAUUUUGUAAGCACUGCUCUCAGGCAUAUGCCAGGUGAACCACCAGGAAUGCAGAGGACUGAUUGGCUGGCUGGCUAGCACAUUAAAGGAAGAAUGUUUAAUGGAACUGAAGAUCUUAGAUAUGCCAAAGAGAAAACUUGAGGGACAUCAUCACCAUGCUCAAAUACUUGAUAUACUGCCAUGAGGAAAGAGGAAAUAGAAGUAGUCUUUGUGAUAAAAGAGAACCAACUCUUAAGUUACAGGAAAAUUGUUAUUUAUAGAUAUAGAUACACAUAUACUUAGGUAAAGAUGUGAAAGACUUAUACACUGAAAAUUAUAAAACAUUAAUGAAGGAAACUAAAGAAGACACAGAUAAAUAGACAUCUGGUGUCCAUGGAUUGGAAGAAUUAAAAUUGUUAAAAUAUCCAAACUACCCAAAGUGAUCUAUAGAUUCAAGGCAAUCCCUAUCAAAAUCCCAAUGUCAUUCUUUACAGAGAUAGAAAUGAACAAUCCUAAAAUUCACAUGAAACCACAAGAGUCCCUAAUGUAAACUAUGGUUUUGUGUAAGAAUGAUGUGUCAAUGUUGGUUCAUCUCUUGUAACAAAUACACCACUCUGGUGUGGGAUGUUAAUAGCGGAGGAAGCUGUGCAUGUGUGGGGGCAGGAGGUAUACAGGAAUUCUUUGUACUUUCUACUCAGUUUUGCUAUGAACCUGAAACUGCCCUAACAAAUAAAUUCCAUUUAAAAACCCCACAAUAUUCCUGAAUUUCUCUGUAUCUAAUAACACAGGUUGUUGUAAGAUAUAAAGAUAAAAAGAUAUGUUUUAUAAGAUAAACACAAAAUAUAAGAAGCAAAUAUAAAAAGCAUUGUAAGAAUAAGAUAUAUAAGAAACAGAAGUUGACAGAACUAAGAGGAGAAAUAGAAAAAUACACAAUCAUCACUGGAUAUUUAUUUGUAUUUUUUUCGCAGUCAUCAUUGGGUAUUUUUUUUUUUAAAGAUUUUAUUUUAUUUAUUUGACAGAGAGAGACAGCUAGAGAGGGAACACAAG